GCUACUUAAAAUGGCUGAGCGCGCGCGGGGGCGGGGGGGCCCCGCUGGCCAAUCCCCCUCGCUGACGCCAUCGAGAGCGGGGAGGGGGCGGCGGGGACAGGGCGGGUGUGCGGGGGCCGGCGGGGGAUGACGGAGGAGCGGGGCCUGCCUGAGGAGUCCCCCAAAAGGUGACCGUGACCCCACUCCCAAUUGAGGGGACACAUGACAGGAGUAGCUGAACAGGCUGUUUGAAAUCAUACAGGAUUUCUUUUUUUAUUAAACUUCAGGCUUUCGGGGCAUCAUA